CCUGUUUGGAUCCCACUGCUAGAGCUAGUUGGAGCUAGUUGGAGCUGGACUAACCCUCAAAGUAUCCAAACAGCUGUGCUAGUUUGGGUUAGAUGGAAUCUAACCCACCAAAAAAACUAUCCCUGAGAAGGGGUGCUAAUUGGAGCUAGUUGGGGUAUACCAGUAAAAAAAAAUACCAUCCUGCCGCAUCUUAUCCUUUCCCAUCCUCCCGCAUCCAGCCC
rnacentral:lncRNA from 1 species